rnacentral:rRNA from 1 species
GAUGAACGCUAGCGACAGGCUUAACACAUGCAAGUCGAGGGGCAGCAUAAAAGUAGCAAUACUUUGGUGGCGACCGGCGCACGGGUGAGUAACGCGUAUGCAACCUACCUAUCAGAGGGGAAUAACCCGGCGAAAGUCGGACUAAUACCGCAUAAAACAGGGGCACCGCAUGGUGAUAUUUGUUAAAGAAAUUAGCUGAUAGAUGGGCAUGCGUUCCAUUAGGUAGUUGGUGAGGUAACGGCUCACCAAGCCGACGAUGGAUAGGGGAACUGAGAGGUUGGUCCCCCACACUGGUACUGAGACACGGACCAGACUCCUACGGGAGGCAGCAGUGAGGAAUAUUGGUCAAUGGGCGAGAGCCUGAACCAGCCAAGUCGCGUGAAGGAAGAAGGAUCUAUGGUUCGUAAACUUCUUUUGCAGGGGAAUAAAGUGCAGGACGUGUCCUGUUUUGUAUGUACCCUGAGAAUAAGGAUCGGCUAACUCCGUGCCAGCCGCCGCUGUAAAAC